GAGAAAAGGGGAGGAGGGAGGGGGGGAAAAAAGGUCAGGUUUCACCCGCAGCGCUUUCGCUGCCUGCCCGGAGGGAAUUCGCGCAAGAUCAGAGCCCCUCCGCCGUGCUCCUGGCACGGCCUCAGCCCGCGCCCACCACCCCGGCCCCGCAGCCGCCCCUCGCCCAUCCUUCCCCUCGCUGCCCGCUCGCCGCCAUUUUGUCGCCUCACACCGCGGGCCCGCCGGGCGGCCAUUUUGUGAAGUGAGGCGGGGGGGGGGGCAGCGCCUGAGGCGGCCGUGAGGGGCAGCCCCGACCGCCGCUUCUUUUUGUCAGCCAAAAGCCUCCUUUUAGCAUUUAUUUCUCUUUUUCUUCACAAAACGUGUCGCCCUUAAUACGCCAUCAGGAGCCUGAUCACUUCAGCAAGAUCCGUCCUCGGACGAAGCAAUCCAAUAAAUGAGAUUAAAGCAUAUUCCCCAGGCUGGGCUGGUUGAAGCUGCCAUUAUUUAUAUACUCAUCAUCCUUCUCCUCCACCUUUUUUUCCCCAGUGAUGAGUCCCCAAGGUCAAUAAGCCGCCUUGACAAACAGGAUAACCUCUGCGAGAAAUAUCUGGGAUUUUUAAUAAAACACCUCACAGGCUCUACUGGACAGUCCAGCAAAAUAAAGAUGUAACUUAAACUGCUCAAAGCCAAAUCUGGGUGAAAAUUGUUAAUUUUCAGGAAAUAAAGCUGCGGGAUGCUGUAAAUUGCUGAUAUGAUGAAGGAAAUCUGGGAUACAAAAUGACAAAACCCCA